UAAACAGUCAGUAUGGACUGAGGAGC
rnacentral:piRNA from 1 species